CCUACGGGGGGCAGCAGUAGGGAAUCUUCCACAAUGGACGAAAGUCUGAUGGAGCAACGCCGCGUGAGUGAAGAAGGGUUUCGGCUUGGAAAGCUCUGUUGGUAGUGAAGAAAGAUAGAGGUAGUAACUGGCCUUUAUUUGACGGUAAUUACUUAGAAAGUCACGGCUAACUACGUGCCAGCAGCCGCGGUAAUACGGAGGUGGCAAGCGCUGUCCGGAUUUAUUGGGCGUAAAGCGAGUGCGGGCGGUUCAAUAAGUCUGAUGUGAAAGCCUUCGGCUCAACCGGAGAAUUGCAUCAGAAACUGUUGGACUUGAGUUCAGAAGAGGGAAGUGGAACGCGAUGUGUAGCGGUGGAAUGCGUAGAUAUAUGGAAGAACACCAGUGGCGAAGGCGGCUCUCUGGUCUGCAACUGACGCUGAGGCUCGAAAGCAUGGGUAGCGAACAGGAUUAGAUACCCCUGUAGUC
rnacentral:rRNA from 1 species